UACGUAGGUGGCAAGCGUUGUUCGGAAUUAUUGGGCGUAAAGGGCGCGUAGGCGGUUUGCUAAGUCAGUUGUGAAAGCCCGGGGCUCAACCCCGGAGGGUCGGCUGAUACUGGUGGACUAGAGUACGGAAGAGGUAGCUGGAAUUCUCGGUGUAGCGGUGAAAUGCGUAGAUAUCGAGAGGAACACCUGCGGCGAAGGCGGGUUGCUGGGCUGACACUGACGCUGAGGCGCGAAAGCUAGGGGAGCGAACGGG
rnacentral:rRNA from 1 species